rnacentral:rRNA from 1 species
UACAGAGGGUGCGAGCGUUAAUCGGAAUUACUGGGCGUAAAGCGCACGUAGGCGGACAUUUAAGUCAGGGGUGAAAUCCCAGAGCUCAACUCUGGAACUGCCUUUGAUACUGGGUGUCUUGAGUAUGGAAGAGGUGAGUGGAAUUCCUAGUGUAGAGGUGAAAUUCGUAGAUAUUAGGAAGAACACCAGUGGCGAAGGCGGCUCACUGGUCCGGUACUGACGCUGAGGUGCGAAAGCGUGGGAGCAAACAGG